rnacentral:rRNA from 1 species
AGGUUACUGCUAUCGGUGUUCGUCUAAGCCAUGCGAGUCAUAUGUUCUUCGUGAACAUGGCGUACUGCUCAGUAACACGUGGAUAACCUGCCCUUGGGUCCGGCAUAACCCCGGGAAACUGGGGAUAAUUCCGGAUAACGCACAUAUGCUGGAAUGCUUUAUGCGUCAAAUGGAUUCGUCCGCCCAAGGAUGGGUCUGCGGCCUAUCAGGUAGUAGUGGGUGUAAUGUACCUACUAGCCUACGACGGGUACGGGUUGUCAGAGCAAGAGCCCGGAGAUGGAUUCUGAGACAUGAAUCCAGGCCCUACGAGGCGCAGCAGGCGCGAAAACUUUACAAUGCGGGAAACCGUGAUAAGGGGACACCGAGUGCCAGCAUCAUAUGCUGGCUGUCCGGGUGUGUAAAAUACACCUGUUAGCAAGGGCCGGGCAAGACCGGUGCCAGCCGCCGCGGUAACACCGGCGGCCCGAGUGGUGAUCGUGAUUAUUGGGUCUAAAGGGUCCGUAGCCGGUUUGGUCAGUCCUCCGGGAAAUCUGACGGCUUAACCGUUAGGCUUUCGGGGGAUACUGCCAGACUUGGAACCGGGAGAGGUAAGAGGUACUACAGGGGUAGGAGUGAAAUCUUGUAAUCCCUGUGGGACCACCUGUGGCGAAGGCGUCUUACCAGAACGGGUUCGACGGUGAGGGACGAAAGCUGGGGGCACGAACCGGAUUAGAUACCCGGGUAGUCCCAGCCGUAAACGAUGCUCGCUAGGUGUCAGGCAUGGCGCGACCGUGUCUGGUGCCGCAGGGAAGCCGUGAAGCGAGCCACCUGGGAAGUACGGCCGCAAGGCUGAAACUUAA